CACGUGAGCGACCUGCCUCCCCGCGGGGGAUAGCCGGCCCAACGGCCGGGUAAUACCGCAUACGCUCGUCGGGGCACCUGCCUUGGCGAGGAAACUUCCGGGGCGGGGAGAGGGGCUCGCGGCCUAUCAGCUAGUUGGCGGGGUAACGGCCCACCAAGGCGGUGACGGGUAGCUGGUCUGAGAGGAUGGCCAGCCACAUUGGGACUGAGAGACGGCCCAGACUCCUACGGGAGGCAGCAGUGGGGAAUCUUGCGCAAUGGGAGCAAUCCUGACGCAGCGACGCCGCGUGGGGGAGGAAGG
rnacentral:rRNA from 1 species